AACUGCAACCUCUACCAAUCCCCAAUGUUUUCGAUCUGUUAGAAAUUUUCUCCAAAGCGUUUUGGCAAAUCUAAGGUACGUUUCACGAAAAGAAAGCAAACUAGUUGUCUGGCCAUGGCAACUGAGGAGCCCAAAGACUUACUAAAGGGUGUGGAUUGGAAAACUGUGGGUGGUGGUUCAAUUGAUGGAUCUAACAGUGGACCAGUUGUGAAGAAACGGCUCCCCAAAAAAAUAAGGCAAGUCCCAGACUACUAUUUCCUUCCCCGAAGAUCCUUACCCUCUGCCAUUGCCGUCUAUGGAGCAAUCUGUGUUGCUGGAGUUGGUGCCGGGAUGUUGGUGGAAAUGUGGAUAGACAAGAAAAUCAAAGAAGAUGGAGGGGUCCUUUGGGAGCUGGACAAGUAGCACAUGAAUGGAUUAAAGGGCUUGGUGGCCCGGUGUUCUUUUUGGUUCUGUUGCUUUGCAGGUACAAUAUAUACAUGCUGCUAAGAUAAUUCAAGAUCCGAAUGUGAAUUUUUUUGGUGUUAGAUCCAUCUGUUAUUGAAUUCUAGCUGAAAUUAUUUCAGCCUAUGAGGGAAAAACAUCUGUAGUUAUGAGGUUCCAAGACAAGAAAGCUUUUGUUGUUUCCAACACCACGAGGAGAUAAUUCAAUAUGAUUGAACAAGGUCAAAAGUAGGAAUGGAAAUGUGCAUUUCUUA